CAAAGUCUUGAUGGACGAUGAACGUGUUUUCCGUAUUUUCCGCUUCACUUAGACUUUGAGAGAAGCCUACUCUUUUCAGUGCAGGCCGAAGACGUUAUUUACAACGUGUGGGAAGUCAUUGGGUGGGCCUGGAAAUGAACUCAUGUGAAAGCACGUUUGAAGUGUCAGAAAAAAAUACUGCCAGCAGUUUAGAACACCUAACGUUGUCAGUGAAAAUUAUGGUUAAGGGGCCACUGAUUCUCGAAGUCUACCUACCCUUUCUCGGCAGAAGGUUCCCCUGCAUACCAGCCAUGUAAUUUGACAGAAACGGGAUUCAAACCCAGGAUCUUCAACUCUGGGGCACUAUCAUACGUAAAGAGUAGCACAGUGAUAGAAAUCUGCUACACGCACGCCCACGACUACUCCGGAGAGGCUGAGAGUAAGCGUUAACCCGGAAGGAGUGAUCCCGGAAGUGAAAGUGACCUAGUGUGUGUCGGACUGAAAUGCUUCAGGUCGCAGACGGUUCCGGCUACAAACUCCGUAUUCUGAGUUGCAGAAUCUGGUUUACACGUGCUGCUCUGGAGCAGGCUUAGUGUCACCUCUGACCUGCCGACUCUUGAGAAUUGUCCCUAGAAUAUCGAGUAAUCCAGUUCCUGUGGUGGGUGACGGAGAAGACUUGCCGUUCUCAGAUGCUGAGAUGAAUCGCCACCUGUGUGCUUGGCUUUUUAGACAUUCAACUUGUAAUGGUCUCCACCAGUGCCGUAUCCAUCCCCAGUCUCGUCAGUUUACACAGAGACAUCUUGAUACAAGGCUGUGGGUUUUUAGACAAAAGAGGCAUCUCAUUCUCCAUCAUCUGUUAAAUAAGAAUUGUCCCAGGAGAUACUGUCAUCAAGACACCAGGAUGCUGUGGAAGCGUAAGGGACUACAGAAAUACAUGGAAGGCCUGAACAAGGAGUACUGUACGCUUGAUCAGUGUUUACAGCGAAUGUCUCUAAACGAAGGUGACCGAAGGGCCUUGACUAGAAGGCAUGCCGAGCUGGCGCCACUCACAGCCAUUUACCGAGAAAUUCAGGAGGCUGAGCAAGCAAUUGAAGAACUAGAUUCAAUGUGUAAAAGUCUAAAUCAACAAGAUGAAAAGCAGUUACAAGAACUUGCAUUGGAAGAGAGGCAAACCAUUAUUCAGAAAAUCAGUAUGUUAUACAGUGAGCUUUUCCAGAGUCUAGUGCCAAAGGAGAAAUAUGACAAAAAUGAUGUUAUUUUAGAGGUGACAUCUGGAAGAACUACUGGAGGUGAUAUCUGCCAGCAGUUUACCCGGGAAAUAUUUGAUAUGUACCAGAAUUAUUCAAGCUAUAAAAACUGGAAAUUUGAACUUCUGAAUUAUACACCAGCUGAUUAUGGUGGGCUACAUCAUGCAGCUGCCCGAAUUUCUGGUAACGGUGUCUAUAGGCAUCUGAAGUAUGAAGGUGGGAUUCAUCGAGUUCAGCGAAUCCCCGAGGUGGGCCUGUCAUCAAGAAUGCAACGUAUUCACACAGGAACCAUGUCGGUCAUUGUCCUCCCUCAACCAGAUGAGGUAGAUGUGAAAAUAGACCCCAAGGAUUUGCGAAUAGAUACAUUUCGAGCCAAAGGAGCAGGAGGGCAGCAUGUUAAUACAACUGAUAGCGCUGUCAGACUCGUCCAUGUCCCCACAGGACUUGUAGUAGAAUGUCAACAAGAACGAUCACAGAUAAAAAAUAAAGAAAUCGCUUUGCGUGUGUUGAGAGCUAGACUCUACCAGCAGAUUAUUGAGAAAGACAAAUGUCAGCAACAAAGUACUAGAAAACUACAGGUGGGAACAAGAGCCCAGUCAGAGCGAAUUCGGACAUAUAAUUUCACCCAGGAUAGAGUCACUGACCACAGGAUAGCGUAUGAAGUUCGUGAUAUUAAGGAAUUUUUAUGUGGAGAGAAGUGUCUGGAUCAGCUAAUUCAAAGACUACUUUAUUCAGCAGACGAAGAAGCCAUUACUGAAUUUUUGGAUGGAAACCUUAAAUCAGCAAAAUAAAUGCUGAUUUUUAUUUAUUGUGCUAUAAAUGAAACAGACCUAUCUCAAGAAGCAGCUGUUCAUAAAAUGCAGCCAAAAUUACGCAGUUAUAAAGAGACUUGCCUCUGGCUCAGGCUCUCUGGCUCUGCCUCUCUGGCCACUCACGCUGCUGCUGGAUGGAUUGGGUCUCUCCCAAGGCCCUGAGACCUCUGCACAGCCUGUCUCCAGAAUGUCACCAUAGACCCUUGGUCUCAUCACAAGAAGGAAUCCAAGACCAGACACAACAGUUGAGCAGUGCAAGUAGGAAAGUUUAUGAAAGUCAGAGUACACACUCAGGUGAGCACAAACGAAAGCUGGCAGAAUAUUUAUUA